ACAGAGGGUGCGAGCGUUAAUCGGAAUCACUGGGCGUAAAGGGUGCGUAGGUGGUCGAAUAAGUCAGAUGUGAAAUCCCUGGGCUCAACCUAGGCAUUGCAUUUGGUACUGUUCGGCUAGAGUGCAGUAGAGGAAUGUGGAAUUUCCGGUGUAGCGGUGAAAUGCGUAGAUAUCGGAAGGAACAUCAGUGGCGAAGGCGACAUUCUGGACUGUAACUGACACUGAGGCACGAAAGCGUGGGGAGCGAACAGGAUUAGAUACCCUGGUAGUCCACGCCGUAAACUAUGAGAACUGGAUGUUUGGGGGCUUGUCUCCUAAGUAUCGAAGCUAACGCGUUAAGUUCUCCGCCUGGGGAGUACGGCCGCAAGGUUA
rnacentral:rRNA from 1 species